rnacentral:rRNA from 1 species
UACGUAGGGUGCGAGCGUUAAUCGGAAUACUGGGCGUAAAGCGUGCGCAGGCGGUUCGUUGUGUCUGUGGUGAAAGCCCCGGGCUUAACCUGGGAAUGGCCCAUGGAAACUGGCGAGCUGGAGUGUGGCAGAGGGGGUGGAAUUCCGCGUGUAGCAGUGAAAUGCGUAGAGAUGCGGAGGAACACCGAUGGCGAAGGCAGCCCCCUGGGCCAACACUGACGCUCAGGCACGAAAGCGUGGGGGAGCAAACAGG